UCUAAUUAGUAAUUUCACACGAUUAAAGCACAGUGAGUAAAUGCGUCUGCCCAUUGUUUUUCCUUCCAACUUUUCGAUCAGAUAAUUCUGUUACUCUGAAAUCUGAAACACAGGUUUCUGUCAUUGUACAAUGAAUCAUCAGCCGCCCAUCACCACAAUGGGAACUCCAUCUUGAUUUUGCGGCAUCUCUGACGUUAAUUAUCUCUUCUACUUCAAUUUGUUAAGUCCAAAAUUUGGCUUGUGGAAAAUAUGUUUGUUGAUCUAUGUACGAAAACUUGGG
rnacentral:lncRNA from 1 species